rnacentral:lncRNA from 1 species
UACCUGGCAUGAGAUGGCACCUCAUUGUGGUUUUGAUUUGCAUUUCUCUAAUGACAGUGAUGAUGAGCUUUUUUUCAUAUGUUUGUUGGCCAUAUAAAUAUCUUAAGAAGUUGCAUGUGGCUACCAGUUUUCCCGACACUAUUUAUUAAAUAGGGAAUCCUUUCCCCAUUGCUUGUUUUUGUCAGGUUUGUCAAAGAUCAGAUAGUUGUAGAUAUGCGGCGUUAUUUCUGAGGGCUCUGUUCUGUUCCAUU